rnacentral:rRNA from 1 species
GACGAACGCUGGCGGCGUGCUUAACACAUGCAAGUCGAACGGAAAGGCCCUGCUUUUGUGGGGUGCUCGAGUGGCGAACGGGUGAGUAACACGUGAGUAACCUGCCCUUGACUUUGGGAUAACUUCAGGAAACUGGGGCUAAUACCGGAUAGGAGCUCCUGCUGCAUGGUGGGGGUUGGAAAGUUUAGGCGGUUGGGGAUGGACUCGCGGCUUAUCAGCUUGUUGGUGGGGUAGUGGCUUACCAAGGCUUUGACGGGUAGCCGGCCUGGGAGGGUGACCGGGGACCAGGGGACUAAGGGACGGCGCAGUGUCGAACAGGGGGCAGCGGGCGGGAGCCUGACACAGUGAGCGCGAGUCUGUGGCGGAGACGCUGGGGGCGGAAAGCCGGCCUGUGGGGUGAGAACCGCUGUCGGCUAAGACGAAGCGGGAGUGACGGUAAUGGAUAAAGAAGCACCGGCUAACUACGUG